UGGUUAGAUAUGCUAAUCUUCGCAAACAUAACCAUUUUCAUGUUUUAUGCUGAUGUUGAUUUUAUUUUUCAUUUUGACAGUUCUUCUCGUUCGACAUCGGUGCCGGCCGGCAUCGAUUGCUGUUGUGAAAAAAAUGGAGACUGAAUCAUUUCGAAUUGGUAUUGAGCUGUUUUGAGGUUUUCAGCAAAUGAAAAUCCCACCGAAGCUGAAAUUCGAUCGUUUGGGUGUGCGGCAUUUCAACAUCGGUGAAUAACGUGCUACAAUCGGCAAAUGAAUCCGGAUGACGAACUCUGGAUUACCCUGGCUGAGUAAAAUCUCUGAAAAUCAAAUAUGUGUUUGAGCCAUUGGAACCGGAAUGUUGUUUCCAUCGCCCACCGGGAAAAGAUUACAGGUAGCUGGCAGCAAUACGGUACCGUAUCACAUCUGGCUGUACGGAACAUCCAAGGACUAAUCAUCAGUCAAUGCCAGUCAGAAUCCCGAAAGCGAAUGCAGGUAACCAGCGUAUGUUCAAAUUACCCUAUCGACGCUGAAAAACACCGACGCUGAAAUUUGAGCGUUUGCCUGUUUGGCGUUUUAACACCGGCGAAUAACACACUCUUGUUUCGUAUCGUCGUAGUGGAGGAGUUCCUUCCGGCUGAUCGGAAUAUCCAAGGAUUAAUCACGAUUUGCACCAUGUAGGCAAUUCCAGCCGGAAUCCCGAAAGAGAAUGCAGGUACCCUGCAGCGUAGGUAAAAAUGAUCAAACAAAAAUACCAUCGAAGCUGAAAUUCUAAUGUUUGACUCUUCUGCGUUUCAACACCGGGGACAGAACAACAAUAAUCGGCGUAUAACACCUGCAGAGCCACCGGAAACAAAAUAUUAUUUUCAUUGCCAGGCAGGAUUCUGGUACCAUAUCGCAUCCGGCUAUUCGGAAUAUUUAAGGAUUAAUCAUGAUUUGCACCAUGUAAGCACUGCUAGUCGGUAUUCCGAAGAGAACGCUGGUGCCCA